rnacentral:sRNA from 1 species
AUAAGAGGAACUAAGGCUAAGAACGCCACUUCGUGUGGCAAAGCCUUCGUGACCAACAUCCUGUUGG